rnacentral:RNase_P_RNA from 1 species
GCAGCGGGCCAGGCGAUCGCGGAUUGUGGCAACACAAUUCGAGGAAAGUCCGGGCUCCACAGGACACCGUGGUGGGUAACACCCACCGUCUGCAAAGACCGGGACAGUGCCACAGAAAACAAACCGCCCGGGACGUUGUUCAGCGCUGCUGGAAACGGGCCGGGUAAGGGUGAAAAGGUGCGGUAAGAGCGCACCGCGGACUGGGUGACCAGGCUGGCAGGGCAAACCCCACGGGGAGCAAAACCAAGCAGAGGGGAGCGGCGGUGGCUCGUCCAUCGUCGCCUGGAUCGGUUCGGUCCGGUACCACCCUCGGGUCGGUUGCUAGAGCGGCCGGGCAAUCGUCCGCCCAGAGAAAUGAUCGCCCCCGACAAAACCCGGCUUAUCGGCCCGCUGCCCAC